rnacentral:rRNA from 1 species
CAGUCGAACGGCAGCGCGGGGCAACCUGGCGGCGAGUGGCGAACGGGUGAGUAAUAUAUCGGAACGUACCCUGGAGUGGGGGAUAACGUAGCGAAAGUUACGCCAAUACCGCGUACGAUCUAAGGAUGAAAGUGGGGGAUCGCAAGACCUCAUGCUCCUGGAGCGGCCGAUAUCUGAUUAGCUAGUUGGUGGGGUAAAGGCCUACCAAGGCAUCGAUCAGUAGCUGGUCUGAGAGGACGACCAGCCACACUGGAACUGAGACACGGUCCAGACUCCUACGGGAGGCAGCAGUGGGGAAUUUUGGACAAUGGGCGCAAGCCUGAUCCAGCAAUGCCGCGUGAGUGAAGAAGGCCUUCGGGUUGUAAAGCUCUUUUGUCAGGGAAGAAACGGUGGACCCUAAUACGGUCUGCUAAUGACGGUACCUGAAGAAUAAGCACCGGCUAACUACGUGCCAGCAGCCGCG